UUACUUCCUCCCAAACAGCGCGUCAGCCAACUGGUUUUGGUUCCUUGUCUUCUGAGCACGAGAGAUGCAAGAUCAGCUUUAUCAGAGCAGGACAUUCAAAAGAAAACAGGAAACAAGAAAACGAUCUCGUAUCGAAUAUGUACAAGACUCAUCAGACAAGUAUGACUCCAGGGAUGUGGACAGGUUAUGGAAGGAUGAUGUUUUGGUUGACAGUUAUCUGGAGGGGCGCCACUUUGUGGUGGAGGACACCUUGAAGAUGAUCGAUGAGAGUCUUCAGUGGAGAAAAUAAUUCAAACUGAAUGGUGGAUUGACCUUUGCUUAUACAUUAUACAGGGACUUGAUGUCAACCAGUGGCCUUGUCCCAUAAUGUAUAGCUGUAUUAAUGAAUAUAUAGCUCCAACAAAGAACAGUAGAAUAGCUUGGCUAGUGCACAUACCCUGUUAUUGUGCAUUCUUGCAAAUUGCUGACAAACUUCCACUGGUUGAACUGAACAUGAUGGUGUUGAUAAGAUGUUUCCCGAUUUGAAAUGUCUUUAUGUAAUGAAUAGUGCUAUAUAAGUAUAAUAUGUAAGAAUGAUGUAUUAUUAUUAUUAUUAUAGACAGCAUUGAUAGUCCAGUUUGAUUCAUUUUUUAAUAUCCCUUUCUCUUCCAUACAUCAUGAAAGCUCUGUUCAAAUUCUCUAUUUGAGUCUGGCAUGCAUUAUCUCCACGGCUAUGAUAAAGAGG